GAGGAUCUCGACCAAGACAGACGCGCGAAACCUGUUUGCCGCCUUUCGACAAUAAAUUUUGACUAACGCACUGCUAAGAGGUAGAAACAGCGUUUGGAAAAAGCAAAUGGACUGUAACGGGAAACAGACCCUCUCCAGAAAGGAUUUGUCUGCGGUACACUGAAAGUAAAGGAGAUGCUUUUGGGAACCUUCAAUUCCUUACCUAUAAGGAUAUCAUUGCCAGACGCUUUAUCAUGACUGAUGGCGAGGGGAGAGAACACUUUCACUACUUGGAGAGCGAAGAGGUGAGAGUUCCAAUUUCAGCCUUGUACCGGGCGCCCGGUCAGGGUGAAGACGUUGAGUAUGAGGAGGGAAAAAGAAGCACAUGGAUUCCUGGCCCCGAGAUCUCUCAGGCGCAGGGGUCCAGUGGUCGCGACCCAACUCCGGAUCUGGUCUCAGAUGAGGAGGAACAGCCCCCCUAUCCGGCGCUCGCGCCGGUCGUAUUCUUCUGCAUCAAACAAACCACUCGUCCACGUAGCUGGUGUCUCCGGGUGGUUUG